GUAAAUAUAGUUUAUACAAAACCCUAGACUGUGAAUCUAGGAAAAGAAGAUUAUAGCUUCUUAUUUACC
rnacentral:tRNA from 1 species